AUUGAACGCUGGCGGCAGGCCUAACACAUGCAAGUCGAGCGGAUGAAGGGAGCUUGCUCCUGGAUUCAGCGGCGGACGGGUGAGUAAUGCCUAGGAAUCUGCCUGGUAGUGGGGGAUAACGUCCGGAAACGGGCGCUAAUACCGCAUACGUCCUGAGGGAGAAAGUGGGGGAUCUUCGGACCUCACGCUAUCAGAUGAACCUAGGUCGGAUUAGCUAGUUGGUGGGGUAAGGGCCUACCAAGCCAAGGGUCGGUAACUGGUCUGAGUGGUUGAUCGGUCACACUGAAACUGAGACACGGUCCAGCCCCCUAGGGGAGGCCGCAGGGGGAAUAUUGGACAAUGGGCGAAAGCCUGAUCCAGCCAUGCCGCGUGUGUGAAGAAGGUCUUCGGAUUGUAAAGCACUUUAAGUUGGGAGGAAGGGCAGUAAGUUAAUACCUUGCUGUUUUGACGUUACCAACAGAAUAAGCACCGGCUAACUUCGUG
rnacentral:rRNA from 1 species